GACGAACGCUGGCGGCGUGCUUAACACAUGCAAGUCGAACGGAAAGGCCCUGCUUUUGUGGGGUGCUCGAGUGGCGAACGGGUGAGUAACACGUGAGUAACCUGCCCUUGACUUUGGGAUAACUUCAGGAAACUGGGGCUAAUACCGGAUAGGAGCUCCUGCUGCAUGGUGGGGGUUGGAAAGUUUCGGCGGUUGGGGAUGGACUCGCGGCUUAUCAGCUUGUUGGUGGGGUAGUGGCUUACCAAGGCUUUGACGGGUAGCCGGCCUGAGAGGGUGACCGGCAACAUUGGGACUGAGAUACGGCCCAGACUCCUAGGGGAGGCAGCAGUGGGGAAUAUUGCACAAGGGGCGGAAGCCGGAUGCAGAAACGCCGCGUGCGGGAUGACGGCCUUCGGGUUGUAAACCGCUUUCGCCUGUGACGAAGCGUGAGUGACGGUAAUGGGAAAAGAAGCACCGGCUAACUACGU
rnacentral:rRNA from 1 species